UGUAAGAGUGCUAUCUGUGGCCAGACCCAA
rnacentral:piRNA from 1 species